UUUUCCCGUUGCAAUCUAUUUCAUAUAAUAAAAUUAGGGCUCCCCAACUUCAUCCCAUUCCGUCACUCUCUCUCGCUAGGGCCCUUACUCCGACUUCCUCCUCAUCAGUUCUCUCCCGCCGGCGAUUGGCCAAGUCGCUGUCCAUCCCACCGUCCCUUCUUUCCGCUCUCUCUCUCCCACAUGAAUUGAUUUGACUGGAGAAUUUUGUUAAUCUUGGAGACAAUUGCGCAAAAGCAACCCGUGAGAAAAUUAAGAUUGUGGUCUUUGAAGAACAUCUUGAGGAUUUACGUAAAGAAGGUCGUUUGAAAUGGGAGAAAUGCAAAUUCCAGUCUUAUCAAGCGUGAGAUCUAUUGUUGUUCUUAAUCUUCCUAACUAUGGAAGCGGAAGAAAUCCAUGGAGCAAGCUAAAGCCAGAUUAUCUAGAGAAGUAAGCGGUUGCACAACAACAGUGGAUAGGGAAAGAGCCCCCCCCCCCCCUCCUGGUUUUUUGGGAGAUCAAGGCAUAGUUACUUUUAUAUAAUACAUAUUCUGGUGGCUUCUGCGGCUCCUCUCAACUGAUGCCGAUAAAUUUUCUCUAUUGAGAAUAGGGGGUUUGUUCAGGCUUACCCCAAUGAUGAUUGUCUCGAAAAUUUUGGUCUUAAACAUGGAUGGCUUGCUUUGAUGGUUAUGGCUGAAGUAAUAUCCUCCAAACACAUAGAACAGAUGGUGCAAAGGUUGAAGAGGAGAAAUAUAUGCAGUACUUCUUUGAUGAUUGGUUUAGUUUCAUUGAUCAACAUCAACCUAAGGCUGUCAUAUUCUCCGAUGCUUGUCCGGACACAAGGUGGAUUGGGGACGAGGCUGCUGUCGCUGGAGUACCUGUUGGUCUCUCUUCAACCGCAUCAAUCAAUUACAUUAUUGGCAACACUGAUAUGGAUGCUCAAGUUGCAUAUAGUUUCCACCAUUUACGAAAUGAAAAACCUUACCUUGCUCAAGGUCCCAUUUCAAAUAAGGACUUCUGUAAUCAGGCAACACCAGGGCAGAAAGUGUAGAAAGAAACAAGGGAGGGUUGGAAUAAGAGCAAGAUGGGGAGAAAAGAAAAAAAAAGAGGAAGCAAAUAUGUGAAAAAAAAAAAGAAAAAUUGGUGGAACAGAUGUUGAAAAGCAGAAAAAGAAGAAAAAGAAGUGAAAAAAGAGAGGAAGUAGAUAUGAGGGAAAAAAAAAAGAAAAAAUGGUGGAACAGAUCUAGAAAAAGAAAAAAACAGAGAGCAGUAUAGGCUAUUGGAGAAAGGGACGGGGAGCUUCGUGAUGGAGUAGGGGGAGGGGAAGACGACGAUUUUUCGAGGUUUCAACCUAAAGCACUACUGGACGAGAAAUCAAGAGAGGAAAAUGAGAAUGCAAACUUGACUAGGGAAAACCAGCUACCUGAAUCAGCUAGUGGAGUACCCUCACUUAACAGAUCCGAAAUCGCAUGAAAAUAAGAGUGUGUAUGCUGAAAGCUGCAAAGGAACUAGAUGGAUAAUGUCAGCUUGCUAUCCAAUUUUUCUUAUUCAUGAAAUUAAGAGGUACGAGAACUAUUGUAGUGAUCAGCAAAGUAUAUCAAUCAUCAUCAGGAAUCUAACCUGGAAAAAGAUGCAAAAGUUGAGGAAACUCCUCCCCAAAAGAGAGCUCUAAAGAUAAAAAAGAAAAUGGUCCAGAUUCGGGAAAAGCACCCAGUCUAUUAUUGAAGACAACGAGUAUAGUUCCGUCUAAGACUGUCCCUUAAAGGCAGAUAGUGCUACUGAUAAGGCAGAAUGGAUAAAUACACUAAGAAAUAUCAUCAGUUCAAAAGGAGGACAAGAGAAGGGCGAAUCUGGCCCUCCAUUGCGCCAAAGUCUUUCCAUGGUUCUCUUACAAUCUGACAAGAUACUAUAUGUGAUGAAGGUACGGAUGCCCAAGUUGCAUACGGUUUCCACCAUUUAUGCAAUGAAAGACCUUACCUUACACAAGGUCCCAUUUCAAAUAAGCAGGACUUUUGUAAUCAGGCAACACUAGGGCAUAAUGUGUAGAAAGAAACAUGGAAGGGUUGGAAAAGAAGAAAAAAAAUAGAAAAACCAAGAAAAAAAAGAGGAAGCAGAUAUGUGAAAAAAAGAGAAAAAAAAAUGGUCGAAGCAUAUAGGUGGUAAAAAAGCAAAAAAACAGAGAGCAAAAUCAAAGAAAGAGACGGGGAGCUUCGUGGUGGAGUAGUGGGAGGGGAAGACGGCGAUUUGGCGAGGCUUCGACUUAAAGCACUUCUGGACCGGAAAAUAAGAAUGAAAACUUGACUAGGGAAAACCAGCUACCAGAAUCAACUAGUGGAGUACCCUCGCUUAACAGAUCCGAAAUCCAACGAAAAUAAGAGUGUGUACGCUGAACGCUGCAAAGGAACUAGAGGGAUAAUGUCAGCUUGCUAUCCAAUUUUUUUCUUAUUCAUGAAAUUAAGAGGUACAAGGACUAUUAGAGUGAUCAGCAAAGUAUAUCAAUCAUCAAUAUGAAUCUACCUGGAAAAGUCUAGUAAUCAAGAUAACAAGUAUAGUUCUGUCUAAGAUUGUCCCUGAAAGACCAUAGUGCCAUUGUUUUGAAGACUGAAAGUGCUUCUGACAAGGCAGAAUGGAUAAAUACAGUAAGAAAUAUCAUCAACUCAAAAGGAGGUCUUAUGAAGGGUGAAUCUGGCCCUCUAUUGCGCCGAAGUCUUUCCGAUUGUUCUCUUGUACGGAUGCCCAAGUUGCAUACGGUUUCCACCAUUUACGCAAUGAAAGACCUUACCUUGCACAAGGUCCCAUUUCAAAUAAGGACUUUUGUAAUCAGGCAACACUAGGGCAGAAUGUGUAGAAAGAAACAUGGAAGGGUUGGAAUAAGGGUUGGAAAAGAAGAAAAAAAAAAACAGAAAAACCAAGAAAAAAAAGAGGAAGCAGAUAUGUGAAAAAAAAAAGAAAAAAAAGAAAAAUUGGUGGAAGCAGAUAGGUAGAAAAAAAGAAAAAAAACAGAGAGCAAAAUCAAAGAAAGAGACGGGG